GGGCGCGUAGCUCAAUGGCAGAGCGUCUGACUUACAUUCAGAAGGUUUCAGGUUCGAGUCCUGACGCGCCCA
rnacentral:tRNA from 1 species